rnacentral:rRNA from 1 species
GACGAACGCUGGCGGCGUGCUUAACACAUGCAAGUCGAACGGAAAGGCCCUGCUUUUGUGGGGUGCUCGAGUGGCGAACGGGUGAGUAACACGUGAGUAACCUGCCCUUGACUUUGGGAUAACUUCAGGAAACUGGGGCUAAUACCGGAUAGGAGCUCCUGCUGCAUGGUGGGGGUUGGAAAGUUUCGGCGGUUGGGGAUGGACUCGCGGCUUAUCAGCUUGUUGGUGGGGUAGUGGCUUACCAAGGCUUUGACGGGUAGCCGGCCUGAGAGGGUGACCGGCCACAUUGGGACUGAGAUACGGCCCAGGCUCCUACGGGAGGCAGCAGUGGGGAAUAUUGCACAAUGGGCGGAAGCCUGAUGCAGCAACGCCGCGUGCGGGAUGACGGCCUUCGGGUUGUAAACCGCUUUCGCCUGUGACGAAGCGUGAGUGACGGUAAUGGGUAAAGAAGCACCGGCUAACUACGUGCCAGCAGCCGCGGUGAUACGUAGGGUGCGAGCGUUGUCCGGAUUUAUUGGGCGUAAAGGGCUCGUAGGUGGUUGAUCGCGUCGGAAGUGUAAUCUUGGGGCUUAACCCUGAGCGUGCUUUCGAUACGGGUUGACUUGAGGAAGGUAGGGGAGAAUGGAACUCCUGGUGGAGCGGUGGAAUGCGCAGAUAUCAGGAGGAACACCAGUGGCGAAGGCGGUUCUCUGGGCCUUUCCUGACGCUGAGGAGCGAAAGCGUGGGGAGCGAACAGGCUUAGAUACCCUGGUAGUCCACGCUGUAAACGGUGGGUACUAGGUGUGGGGUCCAUUCCACGGGUUCCGUGCCGUAGCUAACGCUUUAAGUACCCCGCCUGGGGAGUACGGCCGCAAGGCUAAAACUCAAAGGAAUUGACGGGGCCCCGCACAAGCGGCGGAGCAUGCGGAUUAAUUCGAUGCAACGCGUAGAACCUUACCUGGGUUUGACAUGGAUCGGGAGUGCUCAGAGAUGGGUGUGCCUCUUUUGGGGUCGGUUCACAGGUGGUGCAUGGCUGUCGUCAGCUCGUGUCGUGAGAUGUUGGGUUAAGUCCCGCAACGAGCGCAACCCUUGUUCACUGUUGCCAGCACGUUAUGGUGGGGACUCAGUGGAGACCGCCGGGGUCAACUCGGAGGAAGGUGGGGAUGACGUCAAGUCAUCAUGCCCCUUAUGUCCAGGGCUUCACGCAUGCUACAAUGGCUGGUACAGAGAGUGGCGAGCCUGUGAGGGUGAGCGAAUCUCGGAAAGCCGGUCUCAGUUCGGAUUGGGGUCUGCAACUCGACCUCAUGAAGUCGGAGUCGCUAGUAAUCGCAGAUCAGCAACGCUGCGGUGAAUACGUUCCCGGGGCU